rfam:Alistipes sp. CAG:268 genomic scaffold, scf74
GCCGAAUUAGCUCAGUGGUAGAGCACUUCACUCGUAAUGAAGGGGUCC